UUCGUUACGAACCUCUUUGAUGUCGCUAUUACACACAUUCUUUUGGACUUCUUUUUGAAUUACAGUUUCCUUCUCGACAUCUUUUCCAUCACUCUUCUCUGUAAUAUUCUUCUUCUCCACAGAUGUCACUUUCGUGCUUUCCUGUGAAGGUAGAAGUUCUUCUUUCUCUUUCACAACAACAUCAUUCGUUAUAUUGCUGGCCAGAAUCUCCUUUCUUUGCUCUGUUCGUUCUGCCUUCUCAAGUCCAUCAUCCUUCUCUGUAACAUUCCUCUCCUUCACAGAUGUCACAUUAGUGCUUUCCUGUGAAGGUAGAAGUUCUUCUUUCUCUUUCACAACAUCAUUCGUUAUAUUGCUGGGCAGAUUCUCCUUUAUUUGCUCUGUUCGUUUUGAUUCGGUUUUGUUUGUACCUUUGUCGUCCGCCCCUACUUUUGGAACGAUUAGAUUUGCGUCUUUAUCGUCCUUCGGCUUUUCUUCAGUUCUAUUGGUAAGAGGCUGUACUAUUAAUUCCUUCUUAACAACAACUUCCUCCUUUAUUUCAUUACCCUCUUCGUCCAUUACCUUUCUAACGUCCACCGUUUGUGCAAUGCUCCUGUUGUCUGGAGUCUGUACCGUCACUGUUUCACUCUCGGUCACAGAUUUUUCACCCCGUUGUUUACCGUCCUCAUCUACAUCAGUCGUGGUUUCCGAAGUCUUUGAUACAGUUCCGUUGGGUUUUACGUCAGUUUCCGUCGUCUUCUCAACAACUGUCUUUUUUCCGGUUUCUUGCCCCGUUUCAUCGGUAUUAUUAAAGACUUUCCUUUCUAUGGUCUUGGCGGUGUCAGUAGAGGCUAUUUCUGAGGCUGUUUUCAUUGGAUCAGUAAUCUUGGGUGAUUCUUUAAGUGUCCCCUUGUAAAGAAUCCGGUAUUCUUCCAGGGCGGCGAUAACCUCUGCCACACAAGAGGGCCCCACCUCAGGGAGCCCCUGCAGACCCGGUAACCCGGAGCUCUCCACCUGAGCCCCGGCCACCACCACCAUGAAGA